AAUGGAAGUGGUUAAAAUAGAAUAUGCUGGUCAUGCAAGAGAACUUGUUUCCACUGUAGAAAUCAGCACCUACCCUGAUGGAAUAGUAUGUGUUGGAGGAGAUGGCAUUGUGAAUGAGGUACUUAAUGGUCUUCUGAGCAGAGAUAACCAGAAGGGAGCACUUUCUAUUCCAAUUGGCAUC